rnacentral:rRNA from 1 species
GAUGAACGCUCGCGGGAGGCCUAACACAUGCAAGCCGAGCGGUAUUUGUUCUUCGGAACAGAGAGAGCGGCGCACGGGUGCGGAACACGUGUGCAACCUGCCUUUAUCUGGGGGAUAGCCUUUCGAAAGGAAGAUUAAUACCCCAUAAUAUAUUGAGUGGCAUCAUUUGAUAUUGAAAACUCCGGUGGAUAGAGAUGGGCACGCGCAAGAUUAGAUAGUUGGUGAGGUAACGGCUCACCAAGUCAAUGAUCUUUAGGGGGCCUGAGAGGGUGAUCCCCCACACUGGUACUGAGACACGGACCAGACUCCUACGGGAGGCAGCAGUGAGGAAUAUUGGACAAUGGGUUAGCGCCUGAUCCAGCCAUCCCGCGUGAAGGACGACGGCCCUAUGGGUUGUAAACUUCUUUUGUAUAGGGAUAAACCCACUCUCGUGAGAGUAGCUGAAGGUACUAUACGAAUAAGCACCGGCUAACUCCGUG